UCGAGGAUCAUUCGCAAUGGGCGAAAGCCUGACGAUGCGACGCUGCGUGGAGGAUGACGGCCUUCGGGUUGUAAACUCCUGUCAUGAGGGGAAAAGGGACCUGCGACAACAUCAAGGGGACCGGAUGGUACCUCAAGAGGAAGCCACGGCUAACUCUGUGCCAGCAGCCGCGGUAAUACAGAGGUGGCGAGCGUUGUUCGGAUUUACUGGGCGUAAAGGGCGCGUAGGCGGCGCGGUGUGUCGGGUGUGAAAUCCAUGGGCCCAACCCAUGAAGUGCGCCCGAAACUGCCGCGCUGGAGUGCGGGAGGGGAGGUCGGAAUGCAGGGUGUAGCGGUGAAAUGCGUUGAUAUCCUGCAGAACACCGGUGGCGAAGGCGGACCUCUGGAGCGCAACUGACGCU
rnacentral:rRNA from 1 species